CUCGACUACAUGAAGCUGGAAUCGCUAGUAAUCGUAGAUCAGCAUGCUACGGUGAAUACGUUCCCGGGUCUUGUACACACCGCCCGUCACACCACGAGAGUUUGUAACACCCGAAGCCGGUGGAGUAACCAUUUUGGAGCUAGCCGUCGAAGGUGGGACAAAUGAUUGGGGUGAAGUCGUAACAAGGUAGCCGUAUCGGAAGGUGCGGCUGGAUCACCUCCUUU
rnacentral:rRNA from 1 species